rnacentral:misc_RNA from 1 species
AACGCACAUUGCGCCCCCUUUAACCGGGAGGCAUGCCUGUCUGAGCGUCGAUUUUAACCAUAAACCAUCUCUGGUUUGUCCUGGGCCUUGCGUCACGGCAUCGCCUCGAAGGAAUCAGUCUCUUGAGCGGACAGGAUCCUGUAGGGCUGACCGUUCUCUGACUCUAAAGAUCUCGACCCGACCUCAGAUCAGGUAGGACUACCGCCUGAACUUAA